GACGAACGCUGGCGGCGUGGAUUAGGCAUGCAAGUCGAACGGUAUCAUCCUUUCGGGGGUGAGAGAGUGGCGAACUGGUGAGUAACACGUAGGUUAUCUACCCUCAAGACGGGGACAACCCAGGGAAACUUGGGCUAAUACCGGAUGUGAGCAACUUUUAGUUGUUUGAAAGGUGGCGUAAGCUGUCGCUUGGGGAUGAGCCUGCGUCCUAUUAGUUAGUUGGUGAGGUAACGGCUCACCUAGGCAAUGAUAGGUAGGCGGCCUUAACGGGUGGUCGCCCACACUGGGAUUGAGAUACGGCCCAGACUCCUACGGGAGGCAGCAGUCGAGAAUAGUCUACAAUGGUCGGAAGACUGAUAGUGCGACGCCGCGUGAACGAUGAAUCCCUUCGGGGUGUAAAAGUUCUUUUAUAUGUGAGCAGUGCUUCUUAUAUUAACAGUAUGGGGAGAGAGAUAUUAGCAUAUGAAUAAAGCAACGGCUAACUCCGUGCCAGCAGCCGCGGUAAUA
rnacentral:rRNA from 1 species